AGAGUUUGAUCCUGGCUCAGGAUGAACGCUAGCUACAGGCUUAACACAUGCAAGUCGAGGGGCAGCAUGUUGGUUGCUUGCAACCAACGAUGGCGACCGGCGCACGGGUGAGUAACGCGUAUCCAACCUACCCUUGUCCAUCGGAUAACCCGUCGAAAGGCGGCCUAACACGAUAUGCGGUUCACAGCAGGCAUCUAACGUGAUCGAAAUGUGAAGGAGAAGGAUGGGGAUGCGUCUGAUUAGCUUGUUGGCGGGGUAACGGCCCACCAAGUCAGCGAUCAGUAGCCGGCCUGAGAGGGUGAACGGCCACAUUGGAACUGAGACACGGUCCAAACUCCUACGGGAGGCAGCAGUGGGGAAUAUUGCACAAUGGGGGAAACCCUGAUGCAGCGACGCCGCGUGAAGGAAGAAGUAUUUCGGUAUGUAAACUUCUAUCAGCAGGGAAGAAAAUGACGGUACCUGACUAAGAAGUCCCGGCUAACUACGUGCCAGCAGCCGCGGUAAUACGGAAGGUCCGGGCGUUAUCCGGAUUUAUUGGGUUUAAAGGGAGCGUAGGCCGGAGAUUAAGCGUGUUGUGAAAUGUAGAUGCUCAACAUCUGCACUGCAGCGCGAACUGGUUUCCUUGAGUACGCACAAAGUGGGCGGAAUUCGUAGUGUAGCGGUGAAAUGCUUAGAUAUCAUGAAGAACUCCGAUCGCGAAGGCAUAUGUCCGGAGUGCAACUGACGCUGAGGCUCGAAAGUGUGGGUAUCAAACAGGAUUAGAUACCCUGGUAGUCCACACAGUAAACGAUGAAUACUCGCGGUUGGUUCGUUAGAAUCAGCCGCCAAGCGAAAGCGUUAAGUAUUCCACCUGGGGAGUACGCCGGCAACGGUGAAACUCAAAGGAAUUGACGGGGGCCCGCACAAGCGGAGGAACAUGUGGUUUAAUUCGAUGAUACGCGAGGAACCUUACCCGGGCUUGAACUGCCAGUGACUCAUGCAGAGACGCAUGUUUCUUCGGACACUGGCGGAGGUGCUGCAUGGUUGUCGUCAGCUCGUGCCGUGAGGUGUCGGCUUAAGUGCCAUAACGAGCGCAACCCUUCUCCCUGUUUGCCAUCGGGUAAUGCCGGGCACUCCAGGGAUACUGCCAUCGUAAGAUGUGAGGAAGGUGGGGAUGACGUCAAAUCAGCACGGCCCUUACGUCCGGGGCUACACACGUGUUACAAUGGGCGGUACAGAAAGCAGCUACCCCGCGAGGGGAUGCCAAUCUCAAAAACCGUUCUCAGUUCGGACUGGAGUCUGCAACCCGACUCCACGAAGCUGGAUUCGCUAGUAAUCGCGCAUCAGCCAUGGCGCGGUGAAUACGUUCCCGGGCCUUGCACACACCGCCCGUCAA
rnacentral:rRNA from 1 species